UACGGGGGGAGCAAGCGUUGUUCGGAUUUACUGGGCGUAAAGGGCGCGUAGGCGGCCACCGCAAGUCGACUGUGAAAUCUCCGGGCUUAACCCGGAAAGGUCAGCCGAUACUGCGGGGCUAGAGUGCAGAAGGGGCAACUGGAAUUCUCGGUGUAGCGGUGAAAUGCGUAGAUAUCAGGAGGAACACCGGUGGCGAAGGCGGUGGUCUGGGGCCGGCACUGACGCUGAGGAGCGAAAAGCGUGGGGAGCGAACAGG
rnacentral:rRNA from 1 species